UAUGCCCUGACCAGGGAUUGAACCCUGCAAACUUGGAGCUUUGCGAUGAUGCGCCAACCAAGGAAACUACCUGGCCAGGACUUCCAUGUUCAUAGUGUGGCAGAAUAUUUGCCAAGUGAGAAACAGAUAAUUCAGAGUCGAACGAUCCCAGGGGACAUGCUAUGCGACUCUUUUGGGAGUUGCUGAACGGUCUGGAUGCCCAGGACAUCGUUUUCCUCUAAACUUCCUCUUCUUUCAUUGUCAAAGGCUGGGCACCAUCCAGGGAUGGAAUUUCAGGAAGAUUAUAAACUCCUUAAGAAGAGGACUGCCUCAUUGGUAUACUGUGUUCCGAGAUCUCAUAUGAUACCAUGAACUCUGUGGGUGUUUGACAGAUAUCUGGAUUAUUUCUCGACUCUUGGCUUAUGAUCAUAAUUAAAGUGAGCAGAGCUAAACCAAGGGAAGAUCAAAUGGCAGGCAUUUAAGAGGACGAAUUAGAGCAUGCCUGCAAGUGUUUGUGUGUCUUUGCAAAUAUAUAGCUGUCUGUUCCAAAACAGACCAUGAACGAUUUUGGUUCGUUUCACACUAACUCUUUCCUCUUCAUUGUUGGGCAUGAUUAAGACUUUCUGUUUUUAAUGGAUUUAGAAAGUCACCUCAAAAAUGUUACUUCGUUGUAAAAACAUCUUUAAUAAAGUUAAAGAUUACUGUAUUUUUGGACCAUAAGACGCACCCAGGUUUUACAGGAGAAAACGAAAAAAAUUUGAAGCAAAACAUGUGGUAAACUAUUUAAUAACAUAAAUAGCAUAAAAUUUCACCAGUGUAAAUGUAAACAGAACUCAACAGCAGCAUUAACAACCAUUAUUCUUCUAAAUUUGGGGGGGGAGAAAUAAAAUAGAAACGUGUGUCUUAUAGUCUGGAAAAUACAGUGUUUUGACUCACUGCUAUAUCAGAAACUUCAUGAACAGAAAUGAAAUCACACAGGAUGCAUAGGAAAAAGUUCCCUAAUGUUCAUUAAAUAGUUAAAUGUCUAUACAAGUGUAUACAUCACCCUCAUGGUCAGCAUUAAUUAAAAGAAAAUAAAAUAGAAAGAAGAAUAUUAAAUAUGCAUGGGAAUCUUGAACAUAAGAGAGUGGAUAAGGUUAACUUCCAAGGGUAUUGCUUUUAGGUAGGACAAGCAGUAUUAAAAGGGCAGGUGGGAGGAAGGUAAAGAAGUAGAGGAAAAAUUGGGGUGAGGAGAACUUAUUUUAAGGCUUCAGGAGCUUGAGCUCGUCGGUUUAAGGCCAAAUACUCCUUUCUUUCAUCCUCAACAUUUAUUGUGCGCUGACUUUGUAUCAGGUGCUUUGCAAGUCUCCAUGGCUACUGAGAGUUCCUGCCCUUGGGCACAGUCUGGGACUCGCGGGGGCACUGUGGGUAAUAUGUACAAGAUGCCUCGCAUUUCUGGACAUUUGGGGAACUUUCUCUCUCGUCGUGUUUUCUCACACCUUGAAUCCUGGUGCUCACUCUAUCCUCCUCCCAAUUAGAUUUCAAACUCAUGCAAAAACAUGCUAUGCCUUACAAUAUGUUUUCUUUUAAUUUUUUUAAAUCCUCACCCAAGGAUAUGUUUAUUGAUUUCAGGGAGAGAGGAAGGGAGGGGGAAAGAGAGAGAAACAUCAAUGUGUGAGAGAAACAUCGAUCGGUUGUCUCCUGUACACACCACAACCAGGGAUCGACACCUAGGUAUGUGCCCUGACUGGGACGUGAACCCGUGACCUUUGCUGUACUGAAUGAUGCUCCAACCAGCUAAGCCUGGCUAGGGCUCCUCUUUUAUUUUACACAGCACUUAACGACUGUAGGCAGCAUAACACUACUAUCCUUGGACUCAAGCAAAGGGACCUUUGCCUCCGAAGUCUCCAUUUAUCAUACGCACAACUAUGGAUGCACGAAGGGACCCACAGGCUGUGUGUCACUGUGGGAUGAUGCUACGGCAGCCUGACCUGUCAUCUCACGCAGCCCCUCUUGAGACUAACAGCAUUCAUCUCUUUGUUCUUUGCUCCAUGUCCUCAAAAUAUAAGGUGACUGUGUCUCAGGGGCGAAGGUUGUAGGCUGUGCCAAUCCCAACAGCAAAAGCAAACAGUAUUUCUGAGGGAAGAAUUUGAGCAGCAGACGUGGUUAGGUAAGGGAAACAAACAAAUUAGUUAACUUGUCAAUUCCUUCCUCCCUCAGAGGAAUACAUUUUUGUACAAUAGAUGAAUACGAUAUAUUUUUACAUGAUGAAUCGUCAUAUACCAGUACCGCCCCGUGUCCAUUUUCUUGCUUGCUCACAAUUGAACAUAACACCUGGGAAACAUUUUGAAAUAUUAAAUAAUUCAUAUUCCUCUUAUAUUGAUAAUAUAUGUAGGUCUAGAUAGAGCAUGUGUGAAGGGGGAUACUGAUUCUUUACAUAAAAGCUUGGAUAUUGAUAUUGAUUUAAGAGAUGGUAAAAAUCAUUAUACAAUAAUGUUUAUAUGAUUAGAUUAAAAAUAUUCUGUAAUAUUUAGCAAUUAUAAGAAUUUGUCAGAUGUGUGGCUUUAUUAACAUUUGAACAUG